rnacentral:rRNA from 1 species
CUGCCGGAGGCUAUUGCUAUCGGGGUCCGAAAUUCACCCAUGCUAGUUGUACGGGUUUAGACCCGUAGCAAAUAGCUCCGUAACACGUGGUCAAACUACCCUCUGGACCGGGAUAUCCUCGGGAAACUGAGGUCAAUCCCAGAUACUGCUUUCAUGUUGGAACACAGAAAGUCGGAAACGGUCCGCCGCCGGAGGACGUGACUGCGGCCGAUUAGGUAGACGGUGGGGUAACGGCCCACCGUGCCGAUAAUCGGUACGGGUUGUGAGAGCAAGAACCCGGAGACGGUAUCUGAGACAAGAUACCGGGCCCUACGGGGCGCAGCAGGCGCGAAACCUUUACACUGCACGCCAGUGCGAUAAGGGGACCCCGAGUGCGAGGGCAUACAGUCCUCGCUUUUCGUGACCGUAAGAAGGUCUCAGAAUAAGAGCUGGGCAAGACCGGUGCCAGCCGCCGCGGUAAUACCGGCAGCUCGAGUGAUAGCCACUAUUAUUGGGCCUAAAGCGUCCGUAGCCGGCCGAACAGGUCCGUCGGGAAAUCCACCCGCUCAACGGGUGGACGUCCGGCGGAAACCAGUCGGCUUGGGGCCGGGAGACCAGAGAGGUACGUCCGGGGUAGGAGUGAAAUCCUGUAAUCCUGGACGGACCGCCGGUAGCGAAAGCGUCUCUGGAGAACGGACCCGACGGUGAGGGACGAAAGCUUGGGUCUCGAACCGGAUUAGAUACCCGGGUAGUCCAAGCUGUAAACGAUGCUCGCUAGGUGUGGCGUUGGCUACGAGCCAGCGCUGUGCCGUAGGGAAGCCGAGAAGCGAGCCGCCUGGGAAGUACGUCCGCAAGGAUGAAACUUAAAGGAAUUGGCGGGGGAGCACUACAACCGGAGGAGCCUGCGGUUUAAUUGGAUG